rnacentral:rRNA from 1 species
GACGAACGCUGGCGGCGUGCCUAAUACAUGCAAGUCGAGCGGUUGAAGCCUUCGGGCUGAGAUAGCGGCGGACGGGUGAGUAACACGUAGGUAACCUGCCUGACAGACUGGGAUAACUACCGGAAACGGUAGCUAAGACCGGAUACGCCAACAAGGGGGCAUCCCCUGGUUGGGAAAAGCGGAGCAAUCUGCUACUGAUAGAUGGACCUGCGGCGCAUUAGCUAGUUGGUGAGGUAGAGGCUCACCAAGGCGACGAUGCGUAGCCGACCUGAGAGGGUGAACGGCCACACUGGGACUGAGACACGGCCCAGACUCCUACGGGAGGCAGCAGUAGGGAAUCUUCGGCAAUGGACGAAAGUCUGACCGAGCAACGCCGCGUGAGUGAUGAAGGUUUUCGGAUCGUAAAACUCUGUUGCCAGGGAAGAAUGAUCAGGAGAGUAACUGCUCUUGAUGUGACGGUACCUGAGAAGAAAGCCCCGGCUAACUACGUGCCAGCAGCCGCCGUAAGAC